AGAGUUUGAUUCUGGCUCAGAACGAACGCUGGCGGCGUGUUUAAUACAUGCAAGUCGAACGAGAAAGUACCUUCGGGUACAAGUACAGUGGCGCACGGGUGAGUAAUGCAUAAGUAAUCUGCCUUAGUGUAGGGGAUAACUAACCGAAAGGUUAGCUAAUACCGUAUAAGACCACACUGACUCCGGUCAGAGAGGUUAAAGAUGCCCUCUGUUUACAUGGUGUUGCAUUAGGAUGAGCUUAUGUCCCAUUAGCUUGUUGGUAAGGUAACGGCUUACCAAGGCAGUGAUGGGUAGCUGGUCUGAGAGGAUGAUCAGCCACACUGGAACUGAGACACGGUCCAGACUCCUACGGGAGGCAGCAGUAGGGAAUAUUGCGCAAUGGGGGAAACCCUGACGCAGCGACGCCGCGUGAGUGAUGAAGGCCUUCGGGUCGUAAAGCUCUGUCAGCAGGGAAGAACCGGCACUACUUUAAUAGAGUAGAGCUCUGACGGUACCUGCAGAGGAAGCACCGGCUAACUACGUGCCAGCAGCCGCGGUAAUACGUAGGGUGCAAGCGUUGUUCGGAAUCACUGGGCGUAAAGGGCGUGUAGGUGGCUUAUUAAGUCGGAUGUGAAAUCCCAUGGCUCAACCAUGGAACUGCAUCCGAUACUGGUAAGCUUGAGUACGGUAGAGGGUAGCGGAAUUCCUAGUGUAGUAGUGAAAUACGUAGAUAUUAGGAGGAACACCGGUGGCGAAGGCGGCUACCUAGGCCUGUACUGACACUGAGACGCGAAAGCAUGGGGAGCAAACAGGAUUAGAUACCCUGGUAGUCCAUGCCGUAAACGAUGAAUACUAGAUGUCGUGGGUGAUAACCCCUACGGCGUCGCAGCUAACGCAGUAAGUAUUCCGCCUGGGGACUACGGUCGCAAGACUAAAACUCAAAGAAAUUGACGGGGGCCCGCACAAGCGGUGGAGCAUGUGGUUCAAUUCGAGGAUACGCGAAGAACCUUACCUGGACUUGACAUCCCUGGCUACUCAUAGAGAUAUGAGGUUGUUGCCUUCGGGUAACACCGGGUGACAGGUGCUGCAUGGCUGUCGUCAGCUCGUGUCGUGAGAUGUUGGGUUAAGUCCCGCAACGAGCGCAACCCUUGUCCUUAGUUGCCAGCAUUUAGUUGGGCACUCUAGGGAGACUGCUGGUGUUAAACCAGAGGAAGGUGGGGAUGACGUCAAGUCCUCAUGGCCUUUAUGUCCAGGGCUACACACGUGCUACAAUGGCUACUACAAAGGGCUGCAAACCCGCGAGGGGGAGCUAAUCCCAAAAAAGUGGCCUAAGUUCGGAUUGAAGUCUGCAAUUCGACUUCAUGAAGCUGGAAUCGCUAGUAAUCGCGGAUCAGAAUGCCGCGGUGAAUACGUUCCCGGGCCUUGUACACACCGCCCGUCACACCACGAAAGCUGGCUAGACCAGAAGUCGCCGAGCUAACCUUACGGAGGCAGGCGCCCAAGGUAGAGUUGGUGAUUGGGGUGAAGUCGAAACAAGGUA
rnacentral:rRNA from 1 species